rnacentral:rRNA from 1 species
UAAGGAAUAUUGGACAAUGGAGGCAACUCUGAUCCAGCCAUGCCGCGUGAAGGAAUAAGGCCCUAUGGGUUGUAAACUUCUUUUAGACGGGACAAAACCCCUUUACGUGUAAAGGGUUGAUGGUACUGUCAGAAUAAGCAUCGGCUAACUUCGUGCCAGCAGCCGCGGUAAUACGAAGGAUGCAAGCGUUAUCCGGAAUUAUUGGGUUUAAAGGGUGCGUAGGCGGACUAAUAAGUCAGUGGUGAAAGCCUGCAGCUUAACUGCAGAAUUGCCAUUGAUACUGUUAGUCUUGAGUACAGGUGAGGGAGGCGGAAUGUGUCAUGUAGCGGUGAAAUGCUUAGAUAUGACACAGAACACCGAUUGCGAAGGCAGCUUGCUAAGCUGUAACUGACGCUGAGGCACGAAAGCGUGGGGAGCGAACA